GGGCCCGUGGGGUAGCUUGGCCUAUCCUUGUGGCUUCGGGAGUCAUAGACCCGAGUUCAAAUCUCGGCGGGCCCA
rnacentral:tRNA from 1 species